AUUGAACGCUGGCGGCAUGCCUUACACAUGCAAGUCGAACGGCAGCACGGGAGCAAUCCUGGUGGCGAGUGGCGAACGGGUGAGUAAAGUAUCGGAACGUGCCCAGUCGUGGGGGAUAACGUAGCGAAAGUUACGCUAAUACCGCAUACGUUCUAUGGAUGAAAGCGGGGGAUCGCAAGACCUCGCGCGAUUGGAGCGGCCGAUAUCAGAUUAGGUAGUUGGUGGGGUAAAGGCUCACCAAGCCGACGAUCUGUAGCUGGUCUGAGAGGACGACCAGCCACACUGGGACUGAGACACGGCCCAAACUCCUACGGGAGGCAGCAGUGGGGAAUUUUGGACAAUGGGCGAAAGCCUGAUCCAGCCAUGCCGCGUGCAGGAUGAAGGCCUUCGGGUUGUAAACUGCUUUUGUACGGAACGAAAAGGUUUGGCCUAAUAAGCUGAGCUCAUGACGGUACCGUAAGAAUAAGCACCGGCUAACUACGUGCCAGCCGCCGCAGUAA
rnacentral:rRNA from 1 species